UUUAACUCAGAGUCAAGUGUUCAGCAAGCAAGAAGCCCACAUGCUCACUCCACAUAGACCUUCUGUUCCAAAGUGCUUUCUUGCUCUCAGAAAAUAUCCCAACAGCCUACAGCAAAAGAAAUUCCCCUGCAAAAACAAAUCACUGGUAUUGUAUUGAUAUUUGGCAGAGAAAGAACCAGUUGUCAUUCAUGCCAAUUAAAGAUGACUUUUCAUCUUAAUCUAAAAAACUUAUUUCUCAUGUAGCUAGAAGACAAUAGGUAAAUACAUAAAUCUUCAUUAGAAGAAUCCUCAAAACCUUGGAAAGAACACUAGAGAUCAUCCCCCUUAACUUACCAGAAGAAAUCCUGUGAAUAGGGAAAGAAUUUCUUCCCAGUGUCACCUAGCAAGUUGUUAGCAGGAUAUAGGUCUCCUGACUGCUAUGCUCAGAGCACUUUGCCCCAAGCCAAGCUGGAUGUUAUCCAGAAUCCCUUAGAGCCUCACAGCACAGAGACAACGUGAUGCUGCCAAUCAAGAGAGCUGUUGAUUGUAUUCUUCUGACUUAAGUUGAGUGAUGGUCUAGCUAAAAGUUUGCCAAGAGACUUCGGUGGGCAGAUUCAGAGUCAGAUUUGGCUAAAUCAGAGUCAGAACAAACAAUGACCCUUUCAGCUGGAAUGUUCGUUACUCAUCAUCUCCAAAAACAACCAUUGCCGAAAUACCAUUCCUGGCCCAUCCCAGAGAAAGGAUUUGAGGGUGGAGUAGAGAGGGAGGUGCUGAAACCAGGAUUCCCCUGACCUCAUCUACAGCUGAGUCAGAUAGAGACCAUGCUUGGUGACCAAAAAGGGACAAACCCCCAGGUCAGAGUGUAUUCAAUCCUCAUCAUGGCUGAUGGAAGAGCCACCCUCCACUUUCUUCCUUAAUGGACUCCUGCUUCUAACCUGAAUGAAUGGCUGGUGACUGCACCCAGCAGGGGCUGCAUGCGUCUGAGAUGAGACAGACACACAAACCUAUUCCUUGUUUAAAGAUCACCUUGCUAAGAAUAGAAACUGAAACACAGGCUGGAGCGUGUACACACACAGCCCUAAGGAAGGCCACAGCAGAGCUGGAGGAAUCCACAGCUUAGGGAAGGAUCAUCAGAGAAUCACAGAGCCUCAAAGCAGAAAAAGCAUCCUGAGGUUACUCCCUCUAAUGCUCUCGUUCUAUAGAUGGGGAAGCAAAGGCCCAGAUAGAAAACUGCCCUCACCACCAUCGCCUAGAGACAGAGCAGAAGCAUGACUAGAACUCGGAACCCAGCCUGGGGACCUGACUCAAUGUAGCACACUGCCUUGGGAACACAAGAGCCUACAAGGCUAACCAGGGCCAAAGUCACACCACUCUUCUCAGGCAUGGCUGCCAGGAAGAAUCAAGCAAGGGUGUCUGCUCUCGCAUGUGUUUAAAUAGUAAAAAAUCAAAACCCACCUAAAUAUUCAACAUCAGGGACUUAAAUAAAUAAUGCUAUAACCAUAGUAUA